rnacentral:tRNA from 1 species
UGCGGGAUCGUCUAAGGGCAGGACAGCGGUUUUUGGAGCCGUCGGUCUAGGUUCGAAUCCUAGUCCCGCAGCCA